rnacentral:rRNA from 1 species
UACGUAGGGUGCAAGCGUUAAUCGGAAUUACUGGGCGUAAAGCGUGCGCAGGCGGUGAUGUAAGACAGAUGUGAAAUCCCCGGGCUCAACCUGGGAACUGCAUUUGUGACUGCAUCGCUAGAGUACGGCAGAGGGGGAUGGAAUUCCGCGUGUAGCAGUGAAAUGCGUAGAUAUGCGGAGGAACACCGAUGGCGAAGGCAGCCUCCUGGGCCAAUACUGACGCUCAUGCACGAAAGCGUGGGGAGCAAACAGG